GGCAUCGAGCAGUAGAUCACUUAGCACACAAGUCGAUGAAGAAUGCAACGAGCUGCGAGACUUGGUGUGAACUGCAGGACACAUUGCGCACUGAUGUUUCGAAAGCGCAUUGCGGUCAUGGGGAUACCCGGUACCUCGCCUGUCUGAGGGUCC
rnacentral:rRNA from 1 species